rnacentral:rRNA from 1 species
UGGGGUGACGGAGUAGUGAAAGUUCUGCGUACUGACGGAAUAGUACGUUAAAGGGUGUAGUUAUAGGUUGAGUAGGCAAAUCCGCUUGACUUGAUGAACCUGAUAGUACCACAAUCCUUCGGGAGCGUGGAUAUGAACCUAAUCAGACUUCCAAGAAAAACCUCUAAGUAUAUGUUAUUGGUACCCGUACCGUAAACCGACACAGGU